rnacentral:rRNA from 1 species
CAGUAGCCGCGGUAAGACGGAGGGUGCUAGCGUUGUUCGGAAUCACUGGGCGUAAAGGGCGCGUAGGCGGCCUGUUAAGUCGGAUGUGAAAGCCCGGGGCUCAACCUGGGAAUUGCAGUGGAUACUGGGUCACUAGAGUGUGGUAGAGGAUAGUGGAAUUUCCGGUGUAGCAGUGAAAUGCGUAGAGAUCGGAAGGAACAUCUGUGGCGAAGGCGACUAUCUGGGCCAACACUGACACUGAGGCACGAAAGCGUGGGGAGCAAACAGGAUUAGAGACCCGAGUAGUCCCUGUCUCUUAUAC